GAUGAACGCUGGCGGCGUGCCUAAUACAUGCAAGUCGAGCGAACGGACGAGAAGCUUGCUUCUCUGAUGUUAGCGGCGGACGGGUGAGUAACACGUGGAUAACCUACCUAUAAGACUGGGAUAACUUCGGGAAACCGGAGCUAAUACCGGAUAAUAUUUUGAACCGCAUGGUUCAAAAGUGAAAGACGGUCUUGCUGUCACUUAUAGAUGGAUCCGCGCUGCAUUAGCUAGUUGGUAAGGUAACGGCUUACCAAGGCAACGAUGCAUAGCCGACCUGGGAGGGUGAUCGGCCACACUGGAACUGAGACACGGUCCAGACUCCUACGGGAGGCAGCAGUAGGGAAUCUUCCGCAAAGGGCGAAGGCCUGACGGAGCGACGCCGCGUGAGUGAUGAAGGUCUUCGGAUCGUAAAACUCUGUUAUUAGGGAAGAACAUAUGUGUAAGUAACUGUGCACAUCUUGACGGUACCUAAUCAGAAAGCCACGGCUAACUACGUG
rnacentral:rRNA from 1 species